AUAGGCGUUGGCCCGUGCCUCAUUAAAGCCACUGAAGAGGAAGGAGAAAAUUGGGAGAAACUCCCCUCAUCCACCAUCAAUGUGAAGCACCCACCUCCGUGAUGCACGGUGACAACUGUUGUGCCGGAUCGCUCAUCACACAUCAUCUGUCAGGUGGAGAGAUCAGAGUGACACGACAGAGUCAGACACCCGUUUCAGCGUCCCAUCUGAAAGACUGCACCAUAAAAACUUUGGCCCCCGGCUGAAUCUAGUUGUUGGUACCUGAUGUAGGCUAUUUCCAAUGGUGUUCAUCAAACCAGGCUGAGAACUUAAGUUGUUUUUUGGGGUAUCUUUACUUGACUUUGCUAUGUUAUAUUUUUGACUACUUUUACCACUACAUUCCUAAAAGAAAUAAUGUACUUUUUACUCCAUACAUUUUCCCUGACACCCAAAAGUACUCGUUACAUUUUGAAUGUUUAGCAGGACAGGAAAAUGGUCAAAUUCACACACUUAUCCAAGGAACAUCCCUGGUCAUCACUACUGCCUCUGAUCUGGUGGACUCACUAAACACAAGGCUUUGUAUAUUAUGUCUGGGCUUUGGAGUGUGCUCCUGGCUAUCUGUAAAAAAAGGUAAUGGUGCCACCUGUUUCACUUAAACAACAAUAUGUAACUUUUUGGGCGAGCUAUCCAAAUUCACAAAGAAAUGUGAGUUAUAGAUCUUUCAUUCUCUUAGAAAGCAAAUCUAAGAAGCAGUAGAUCUGUUCUAUGUGCGUUAUUUCUAUGCUUCCCCUUCUGCAGUUUCGUUUAUACAUCUUUUACUAUGGCUUUUGUACACCGGCUUCAAACAGCUGAAUAAACAUUAUUUUUGACUGCU